ensembl:lincRNA
GACGGGGUGGACACAACAAAUUGGUGACCUGCAUGGGGACCCCAGGAUCUCAUGGAUUCAGAACUCUUCAGCUGAGGAACGGCGGUACCGUGCCAAACUCAAUAGCACUCGACUGGACCCUGUCACCUUGGGGGACUUCACCUCCUAGAUCACCAAUGCCUUCUCAUUUUUUAAGGAAUGGGUGGGAAUGUUGGCCUGGGAGGCAGUGGUCCUCCUGGGUUGUGUCUUUUGUAUCUGGCUAUUGUGUCAAUUCAAACAAGAGCACGCUCAGUAUAAGGCAGCGGUAUACCAAGCAUUGAUGGCAAUUAAAGAUGGCGCAUCUCC